rnacentral:lncRNA from 1 species
AGUUAUUAUAGGUUUGAUUUGUUCGGUGGCAUACUUUUGUCUUCUCACACUAUAGGACAAGUAACUAGUUCAACAAUUAAAUUUGAGUGUGAGGAAAAAGUGGAGUGUAUAUUUCGACUAUACCGAAUAGUUCGAAGUGAUCUAGUGGAUACUUGAAUUAUAUUUUUUUUUUGGGGCGGGGGCGGGAAGAGUCUUUGCUUGGUAUUAAAUUUUAUGAGGUUUGUGUGAAGUGCAUGGAUGGUUGAGACGUGAUACGAUUUGGUGAGGAUUUUUGAACCUUGUGGAUCUAAGAUUAACAUCUUAAUGUGUAACUGAGUUUAUUCAAUAGACUACUAUUGAGUUCCUUUUAUUUGGAAAUAAAUUGUGAUUUGAUUAAAUGGGUUGGGAAAGAAAAGGAAAUGGCCAUUGAUGUUGGUACUAGCUGGUAUGAAAGAAAUGAUUAUGAUGAAGCACUGAUUGUAAGGUGUUGUUGGUGCGAAUUAAUAGAAGACUAAUACUAAAGAAAAGUGUGAUGUAAAAUAGUAUUGAGAAUACAAGAAGGAGUAUACGAGGAACAUGAGUGAUUGUGCAUGUAAGCUCUAACGAGAUUAUUGGUUGACAUGUAAGUAUGGAGAGUUGUGAGAGACUUUGUGUAUAAACUUGUGAAUAAAAUCCGGAUGGUAGUUGAGUGACUUGGUGAAUUUAUGGAGUUUGCCUUGAAGAAGUUGGGGGAAGAACGUCAUUGAGGUUAUAGUUAUGAAAUAUUGUGCGAAUAUUGAAAAGUAUGUUGAGUGAUGUCAAAAUGAAAAUUUAUAGUUUUCUAUUGUGCAAUUUUUUUUAUGAUGGAGUUUAGAAACGAAUAUGGCAAAUAUUUUGGCUUAGAAGAGAAUAUUAUUGGGAUACAUAUGAAGGAGUAAUUUGAUAAGAAGACAUAUUUGAAGUAUUUGAAUAUUGCUCCUAUUUGCAGUUGAUUUUUUUGUUAUUUACGAAGUAGACGCCUGAUGCGUAAGGAAAUAUUUAACGACUUUUGGUUUGAGGUGGAAUUGAGCAAGUGAGGAUAUGAUGUGUUGUAAUAAUUUGAAAUGUGAUGGGAGUGUUUCAUGAUGUUGAAUGACUUAUCGGUUAGACAUAAUUAGUUUUGACGUGCAAUUGAGAAUUGGAUUUAAUUGAAAUGUUGGUUGCGAUCCGCGUAGUAAGAGAAUGAUGAAAGGUUUGUUUUAUAGUAGUUGUUACGAUGUUGGGAUUAAUUAUCACUAUUUUAAAUUAAAAUGUUGAAAUCAUAGCAGUGAUAUUGCAUGAUCUUAGUCCCCAUGAUAAUUUGAGUUAUCGUUUAACUUGUCAUUUUGAUACAUGACAGAGAAUAUGAAAAUUUGUGUUGUGUUUGGAGUUUUACUUACCCACGUUUCGCAGAUUGUCGAUUGCUUGAGAUUGGAGAAUAAUUUCGCUGUUUUUCUCUUUCGUCUUGGGUUGUUAAAUAACGCAUUAUGGGUUGCAGAGAGCUCUUGGUUAAUAAAUUGAGGCGAUUAGCCAUUUUGAUUUGAUGUAUAGGAUGGUCCUAUCAUAUGGAUAAUGAAAUUGAAGAUGGAAAUACAUUGUUAGUAUUUUUUGGGUAAUUGAUUAUUUUGACAUUACCUUGGUUAAUAAAACUUCACUAAAGAGUAUCUGAUCUGUGUCGCCAAUUUUUUGUGGUAGGCGAAUUGAAGAUUUGUCUGUUCGUUUUGAAGUUUUUACUGUCACGAAGUGAGCCGAACACCUCGGGACUAGCAGUUUUGUUACAACCAUUACCGGUUGCAAGUGGAAAUGAGAGUGCAGUUAUAAUGAUUUCAUUACGGGUUUGGAGAAAAUGCUUCGGGGCAUGCAUACUGACUAGGGGGAUCAUGGGAGGAUCUCCUACACGUGUGGAGUUCGUGUGUACAUAAGUUAUUAAGCGAGCAUUGGAAAACACAUUUUAGGCAUUGACAGACCAUGUAGGUUACCGAUUUGUUGGAACUCGACGUUAGAGAUGUUACGUGUGAGCGCGGAGUCAGAAGUUUGUGCAAGGUAUCCAGUUGUUUUUAACUCCAUCUAGUACGUUUAUCUAUUUCGAGACGAAAUUCUUUAAGUGUGGAGGGUGUAAGGGUUCAAAAUUUUUUUUUUGAUAAUUAAUGACGCAGUGUGUGGGUAUCAUGCCACGUGUGCAUAUAAUUAUGUUAUAUGUAUAUAUUAUAAAUAUUUUUUUUUUCCCCCCCCAAAUACGGUUUUAGUAUAAAUAUAAUGGACCCACUUUAAAAUUUUAUUGGGCCAAUGUUGAAUUGAAAUGGAUUGGCAAUUGGUUUGAAGGAAGAGUGUGAAAAUGGGGCCCAAUGGAGUGGACCCAUAUGGUUGUAGUUUGGAUUUUGUGCCUUGGGCCAACAAAGCCCCAAGGGCCCAAGAAGGCUUUGUGUCAUUUCAAUAUUUUGACCUAAAUCAUUAGGUUAGCAUUUUAUUUCAUUUUUCCAUCUUCUUCUUCCCUUCCCUCUUCUCUCGCGAGGUUUUGAGUCCAAAAGAGGGUUAGCAUUGAAGUUUUAUAUCCUAGUGUGUAGAGUGAAUCUUUGAAGUGAUCAUUUGAAGAAUAUCAUCUAACACAACGAGUGCUCCUAUUGAGCAGAAGUUUAAAUCGAAGCUGUGGAGUUGGGAGACUUUAUCAUCACAUCUUCACUAUUUUGAGCUUGCAUUGCUUGGAUUUGAGGUAAAGGGGUUUUUCCUGUGGGGUUUAAUCUUGGGUUUGUUGUUAAUGCUUAAUAAAGUUCUAUUGAAGUAUUUUUGGGUAUAGAACCCUAAAGAAGACACUUGAUUUAGUUAAAAUUAAGAAUUGUGAAAUUUGGUGUUUGUGUUUGGUGUUUGGUGUCCAACACCUAGGAAUUUGUGUCGACACCUUGGAGGUAGGAUUUGAAUAUUUGGGACACUUGAUGGUUGGUGUCGACACCUAGAGUUGGUGUCUACACCUUUGAAAGGCGAAUGUUGAGAAUUUGUUUACUGAUGUUUUGGUUGCUGGACACUGGUGUUCGACACUUUGAAUAGUGAAAAUUCAUUUUUUUGGCUACUACUGAUUUGGUGUUGACACUAGAUUUUCAGGUGUCUACACCUAAAAGUUUUUGAACAAGUAAAAAAAAAAAAAUAAUUUUUUGUUAAAUGGUUUUACUUUUAAUCAUAAAAUAUUUUGUUCUAUAUUUUGUUACCAACAAAAAAUUAAUUUUUAAUCAUGUAACUUUGUGUAUGUGAACUUUAAAAUUAUUUUUUUGAAAAAUGAUUGGAUAAAUUUUGUACAUGAAAUGCAUUUAAUGGUUUCAUCAAUGAUAGUUUUAUUAAUAGAAUUGAUAAUUGCAUAUUAUGGUUGAUGUCUUGUGGCCUGGCAAUGCAUCUUUUUGAGUAAAAUGGUUAGAGAAUGGUUGAUAUGUGAAGUGGUUUUGAGAAUGAUGAUGAAACGGUUUUAAGAAGGUAAGUAGAAAUGGUUUGAAAUGACACCUAAGAUAACCUGUGAAAAACCACACGGGAGGCAGAUAGCGAUCGUGUGACAUUGGGUAUGUCACACCUUCGGUGAAAGUCGAGAAGUAGGCCAGAGAUUGGGUAAGUAAUACCUUCGGUGAAAUUCGAGAAGAAAGUCCCUAGAUGCAUAUAUUGGGUAUGUAAAACCUUCGGUGAAAGUCCGAGAAGAAAGUCCUAGUGACAAAUGCUCAAUAAUAGGGAUGUCGACCCUUUCGGUGAAAUUCCGAGGAAUGCGAUUGUGUAAUGGGAUAUCGCCUCUUUCGGUGAAAGUCCGAGGAUGCGAUUGUGUAGAGGAAUUCGACCCUUUCUGUGAAGUCCGAGGGAUGCGUUUGUGGUAUAGGGAUGUCACCUGUCGGUGAAAGUCCAGGAAUGCGCUGUAUGAGGGAAUUUCAUAGCCCACGUGAAAGCCCGAAAGUUGUCUAGACGUUUCUCUAAGCUUAGCGCAUGUAUGAGGUGGAUAGUGUUAGCCUAGGUGUGUCCCAUUCAAGUAAUUAAUAUUUUACCUUUUUGGAAAAAAUACAUGAAUUGUUAAAUUUGAUAAAUUGUAAAGAAUGAGAUUAUUGCUUUUCUCAAAAAGAGCCUAAUGGUUUGUGAAACAUUGAUUUGAAUCAUGAUUUAAUGUGAUUGUUUAGAUUUAUGAUGUUUAAGAAAAGCCCGGUUUGUUUGUGACAAUCAACUUAUUGAAAAUCAAAACUAUAUUUUGAUAUGAAUGAAACAUUUUUUGUUGGCAUCAUGUUUUCAUUAUAUAGUUAUUAUCAUGGUUUUGGCUUGAACAAUCAAGUUAAUAUUGUUAAAUCUUUUCAAGGUAGCUCAACCUUUACGAAAAUGAAUUUCAGGUACCGAGGGUUAUCCUGAUUUUGUGAGGCAGAUGAUGCCGUUUACGUUAUCUUUUGUCUAGAAAAUAUGGAAAGUAUUUUUGGGAGUUGUAAUUAUUCUUUAAGCCCGGUGUGGGCAUUGUCUAUGAUUAUCAUCCAUAUUUUGUAUUUGAUAGCUCAAGGAGCAUGGUGCCCACUAGAGGGGUGGUGUGUACAGUACUCUGAUGUAAAGACAACUUGUUGUUAGUAUAUUAGUUUUGACUUCCCAUUUGAGUUGUUUGCUCACGUGCCAGGUCUUUGUUUGACCGGGCGUGACCACUUCUGGUACAUGGAGCUCAUUAAGAGUAAGACAUUUUCCAGAAGUAAAGUUCCGAUCCACAUUUCCUUUUUUUGCCCUUGAUUUGUUGCGGUGGACCGAAUUGCCCAUGUAAAGACGGCUGCCAUUUUCCACUGGUUCAUAUUUUCUUGAAGCAACUUUGAUCUUUGCAAACAUGCCUCGUCGCACCAAGUCAAUCCACCCCCCCAUGGGCUUCAGUAUCUUCGAGAAACAUUGCCUGCGGAUAUCAUAAGCCACAAACCUUUCGGUGUACCAGCCCUUUUUUGUUUGUCAGCAUCCGGCACACUCUCUUUUGGAGUUGGGCAGUUGUUACCGCACUGUUAGCAGAACCCUUCUUUGUCUUAUUUGUUUGGAGUCUGAGUGGG